UACGAAGGGGGCUAGCGUUGUUCGGAAUCACUGGGCGUAAAGCGCACGUAGGCGGAUCUUUAAGUCAGAGGUGAAAUCCCCAAGGCUCAACCUUGGAACUGCCUUUGAUACUGGGGAUCUUGAGUCCGGGAGAGGUGAGUGGAACUGCGAGUGUAGGGGUGAAAUUCGUAGAUAUUCGCAAGAACACCAGUGGCGAAGGCGGCUCACUGGCCCGGUACUGACGCUGAGGUGCGAAAGCGUGGGGAGCAAACAGGG
rnacentral:rRNA from 1 species